GGCAGCUACAAGGAGAAGGCAAGGGACAGAGAUGGCGGUUUCUAUAAAUAACAACUGAAAUUAGCGUUAUGGUGGGAGAUUGCUCUUUCAGAGGACAAUAAAGAAGACCUGGCUGAGUGUAAGAGCCAAAGUCCAACCCGACCAAUGAGCCAUGGCUACGGAGAGUGACAGAGCUGGGGAUCGCUUCAGAGCCAGAGAUGCUGAUGUCGGACCAGUUGCGAGAGCUGACAACAGUGCCCGCCAUGGUGGAGAGAGCCACGGAUGUAAAGAGUGGAGAGUGAAGCUCCACCCACUGCACCAUGGCUGAGGGUCUAUUCUGGAGAAAAUGAGCCUACUGUGAAAGGACUUAAAAAUACAGCGAUUGCAAGUGUCCUGGGACAGGUGAGGGAGUGAGUGGAUGCUGGUGUAGCUUCUCACAGAGGACAUCAAACUCCAGAGAGACAGAGGAGAGAAGAGCACAGGAGAGCAGGGAGAGACGAUAUUUUUAAUCCUUCUCUCAAGAAGAGACAAUGCUUUCGAUGCCACAUUGUGUUGAGAGUAAAAGUAAAGGUAUAGGUCUACAGUAUUGUUCUAAAAAAAUUAUUCAUCAAGGUUUUGCAUUAAUAUUUUUUUUGGUUUUGCCAAACACUCUUACUCAUCUUCAUCCCAAACUAACCCGUACAGAGUCAACCAGCUCUUGUCUGCCAGAGACCAGGGGCAUACGUUUACCCCCACCAUGAUUUUGAUUAUCUCUCAUCUGAGCUCAGAGCAAAUGUCAACACUCUGGAGCAUACUAAUGGAUUCUGGAACAAUUCAGUGUGGAAAUCUGCCUGGCCUUUUAUAGCAUGUAAAUCUGAUAACCUGAGGCAGUUAUCCACGUGUAUCAUCAAUUUAUUAAAUAUAUUAUAUAUUACAAAAUAUUGAAUAAUAAUAUAUUUUGAACAAUAUGUGACAAUACAAAUCACCACUCACUGGACUCGCUUUUUUAGAGCGAUGGGCUUUGUACAAAUCGACCAGUUUUGGAAGGCGGGGGGGGUUUGAAGAGAAGCAAUAACGUACAGUAUGUUGAAAAUUAAUGUGUUUUUUGAAACUUAAACCACAUAAAACAUUGCAUUGCAAAUACACAGAAAAUUUUAUUUUUAGCAACAUCAUAUGAGCCGUUUAAUUCAAAACAUCGAAAUGCACGUGUACGCAUAAAAAUAUAAGCACUGGUUUCCAACAUAUGUAAAUGUAUUAUUUAAUAUAUCACAGUAUAUUUUGCAGUACAUUCCCAUAUAUUUUAGUUUCGUAAGGCUUUAGUUGAAGGACCAAGUCUUGCAGUCCAUUUAACACAGGUUCCACUUAGAAUUAAAUAGAGUUUAAAUGCAGACCAUUUUUUAAUUUCACAAGGAACAUUUUAACACUUAAUAUUUUCACACUUUAACCAUUUCAACCUUUCAACUACAUACUAGCAGUUAUUACAGUAUUAGUAGACUGUCUUCUAACAUAACUCCUAACAUUUUAUUUUAAUAAACAUACUGGCUGUACAAAACUUUGGGAGUA